rnacentral:rRNA from 1 species
ACGUAGGUGGCAAGCGUUGUCCGGAAUUAUUGGGCGUAAAGCGCGCGCAGGCGGAUUGGUCAGUCUGUCUUAAAAGUUCGGGGCUUAACCCCGUGAUGGGAUGGAAACUGCCAAUCUAGAGUAUCGGAGAGGAAAGUGGAAUUCCUAGUGUAGCGGUGAAAUGCGUAGAUAUUAGGAAGAACACCAGUGGCGAAGGCGACUUUCUGGACGAAAACUGACGCUGAGGCGCGAAAGCCAGGGGAGCGAACGGGAUUAGAAACCCUUGU